rnacentral:rRNA from 1 species
UACGGAGGGUGCAAGCGUUAUCCGGAUUCACUGGGUUUAAAGGGUGCGUAGGCGGGCAGGUAAGUCCGUGGUGAAAUCUCUGAGCUUAACUCAGAAACUGCCAUGGAUACUAUUUGUCUUGAAUAUUGUGGAGGUAAGCGGAAUAUGUCAUGUAGCGGUGAAAUGCUUAGAUAUGACAUAGAACACCAAUUGCGAAGGCAGCUCACUAAAUUGUAACUGACGCUGAGGCACGAAAGCGUGGGGAUCAAACAGG